UGUAAAUGAAUGUUGUAAGUCUGGGUGGUGGGGGUAAUGGAUGACUGGAGAUGACGGUUGUGUUUGGGGCCAUGGUGAAGGUAGCGUUUACAGAUGAGGAUUCCAGCAGAUUGAGCAGAGGAGAGAGCAGUGGAGGAUAGCCUGUAGUUUCUCCUGAGGCGGAGGAGUUGACAGCGAGAGUAGGGGAGGGGAGGGGAGGAGGUAAUGGGGGGACAAAACAACUGUGGGAACCAGGGGAAUCCUUUGAAUAGCAGGGGGGGUAGUGUAAGAAGCAACAGGAGAGGGGUGAGUAGGGUUGGUGGUUCCAUGGUUUAGCAGACGGGUUAGCAAGUGGUGAGAGGGACGGUAGAGGCAGCACAGGGUA